UACGUAGGGUGCGAGCGUUGUCCGGAAUUACUGGGCGUAAAGAGCUUGUAGGUGGUUUGUCGCGUUGUUCGUGAAAAUCUCACGGCUUAACUGUGAGCGUGCGGGCGAUACGGGCAGACUAGAGUACUGCAGGGGAGACUGGAAUUCCUGGUGUAGCGGUGGAAUGCGCAGAUAUCAGGAGGAACACCGGUGGCGAAGGCGGGUCUCUGGGCAGUAACUGACGCUGAGAAGCGAAAGCGUGGGGAGCGAACAGG
rnacentral:rRNA from 1 species